GACGAACGCUGGCGGCGUGCUUAACACAUGCAAGUCGAACGGUCCUGUUUUUGAAGCGUUUCGGCGUGGAGGGGACGGGGCAGUGGCGCACGGGUGAGUAAUGCGCGAGGACCUGCCCGCGGGAGGGGGACAGCAGUUGGAAACGGCUGGUGAUACCCCGUAGGCCGGGAGGUAAAAGGGCGGAGACGCCCGCCUGCGGAUGGACUCGCGUCCUAUCAGCUAGUUGGUGAGGCAACGGCUCACCAAGGCGACGACGGGUAGCCGGCCUGAGAGGGUGUCCGGCCACACUGGAACUGAGACACGGUCCAGACUCCUACGGGAGGCAGCAGUGGGGAAUUUUGGACAAUGGGCGCAAGCCUGAUCCAGCCAUUCCGCGUGCAGGACGAAGGCCUUCGGGUUGUAAACUGCUUUUGUACGGAACGAAAAGGUCUUCUCUAAUACAGAGGGCCCAUGACGGUACCGUAAGAAUAAGCACCGGCUAACUACGUG
rnacentral:rRNA from 1 species